GGCUCAAUGGUCUAGUAGUAUGAUUCGCGCUUCGGGCUAACCGGAGAAUUCAACCCGAAAAGUCACGUGAUUCCAUGUGCGCGAGGUCCCGGGUUCAAUUCCCGGUUGAGCCC
rnacentral:tRNA from 1 species